rnacentral:rRNA from 1 species
GACGAACGCUGGCGGCGUGCCUAAUACAUGCAAGUAGAACGCUGAAGGAGGAGCUUGCUUCUCUGGAUGAGUUGCGAACGGGUGAGUAACGCGUAGGUAACCUGCCUGGUAGCGGGGGAUAACUAUUGGAAACGAUAGCUAAUACCGCAUAAGAGUAGAUGUUGCAUGACAUUUGCUUAAAAGGUGCAAUUGCAUCACUACCAGAUGGACCUGCGUUGUAUUAGCUAGUUGGUGGGGUAACGGCUCACCAAGGCGACGAUACAUAGCCGACCUGAGAGGGUGAUCGGCCACACUGGGACUGAGACACGGCCCAGACUCCUACGGGAGGCAGCAGUAGGGAAACUUCGGCAAUGGACGGAAGUCUGACCGAGCAACGCCGCGUGAGUGAAGAAGGUUUUCGGAUCGUAAAGCUCUGUUGUAAGAGAAGAACGAGUGUGAGAGUGGAAAGUUCACACUGUGACGGUAGCUUACCAGAAAGGGACGGCUAACUACGUG